rnacentral:rRNA from 1 species
AUAAGGAGUCGGACCUGCCCAGUGAGUUUUUUAACGGCCGCGGUACUCUGACCGUGCAAAGGUAGCAUAAUCAUUUGCCUUAUAAUUGAAGGCUAGUAUGAAUGGUUUGACAAGAAUAUAGCUGUCUCUUUAUAAUUUUAUAGAAUUUUAUUUUAAGGUGAAGAAGCCUUAAUAUAAUUAAAAGACAAGAAGACCCUAUCGAGCUUUAAAGAAAUCUUUAGAAAUUAAUUAAUAAGUGAUUUUAAAAAAUUAGCUAUUGAAUAUUUUGGUUGGGGCGACUAAGGAACAAAUAAAGCUUCCUUUAAUGAAGACAACACUCAUGUAUCGAUCCAAAAUUUUUGAUUAAAGAAAUUAGUUACCGUAGGGAUAACAGCAUUAUCUUUUUUGAGAGCUCUUAUUGAAAAAAAGGUUUGUGACCUCGAUGUUGGACCAGAAUAUCCUAAAGAUGCAGAAGUCUUUAAGGGUUGGUCUGUUCGACCAUUAAAAUUCUA